GAUGAACGCUGGCGGCGUGCCUAAUACAUGCAAGUCGAGCGAACAGAUAAGGAGCUUGCUCCUUUGACGUUAGCGGCGGACGGGUGAGUAACACGUGGAUAACCUACCUAUAAGACUGGGAUAACUUCGGGAAACCGGAGCUAAUACCGGAUAACAUAUUGAACCGCAUGGUUCAAUAGUGAAAGGCGGCUUUGCUGUCACUUAUAGAUGGAUCCGCGCCGUAUAGCUAGUUGGUAAGGUAACGGCUUACCAAGGCAACGAUACGUAGCCGACCUGAGAGGGUGAUCGGCCACACUGGAACUGAGACACGGUCCAGACUCCUACGGGAGGCAGCAGUAGGGAAUCUUCCGCAAUGGGCGAAAGCCUGACGGAGCAACGCCGCGUGAGUGAUGAAGGUCUUCGGAUCGUAAAACUCUGUUAUCAGGGAAGAACAAAUGUGUAAGUAACUGUGCACAUCUUGACGGUACCUGAUCAGAAAGCCACGGCUAACUACGUG
rnacentral:rRNA from 1 species